rnacentral:rRNA from 1 species
UAAGACCUUGUGCUUUAGGAGUGGCCGAUGUCUGAUUAGCUAGUUGGUAAGGUAAAGGCUUACCAAGGCGACGAUCAGUAGCUGGUCUGAGAGGACGAUCAGCCCCACUGGGACUGAGACACGGCCCAGACUCCUACGGGAGGCAGCAGUGGGGGAUUUUGGACAAUGGGCGAAAGCCUGAUCCAGCAAUGCCGCGUGAGUGAAGAAGGCCUUCGGGUUGUAAAGCUCUUUCAAUCGAGAAGAAAAGGCUAUGUUUAAUAAACAUAGUUCAUGACGGUAUCGAUAGAAGAAGCACCGGCUAACUACGUGCCAGCAGCCGCGGUAAUACGUAGGGUGCUAGCGUUAAUCGGAAUUACUGGGCGUAAAGGGUGCGCAGGCGGUCCUGUAAGUCAGAUGUGAAAUCCCCGGGCUUANCCUGGGAAUU